UACGUAGGGUGCAAGCGUUGUCCGGAAUUAUUGGGCGUAAAGAGCUCGUAGGCGGUCUGUCGCGUCUGCUGUGAAAACUCAGGGCUUAACCCUGAGCUUGCAGUGGGUACGGGCAGACUAGAGUGCGGGUAGGGGGAGACUGGAAUUCCUGGUGUAGCGGGUGAAAUGCGCAGAUAUCAGGGAGGGAAACACCCGGGUGG
rnacentral:rRNA from 1 species